ensembl:lncRNA PDE6B-AS1 PDE6B antisense RNA 1
GCCCUGCCACCCUGACCCUGACUUGUGCUCAAGCCUGGCACCUGGAUCCUGGUUCCUGCUUGGGGCCUGGGGAUGGGGUCCCAAUAGGCUUAUGGGAUCACAGGGCCACUGGGCCACCAGCUGCCCCUCCCUUGGCUGGAGUCCUGCCCUGACCUCCGGACUGGAGUUCCCCUCCUCUUCCAGCCCCACGGGGCCAAGACUCGGCCUCCUGGCUGGAGGCUCCACUGUCUGGGUGGGGCUGGUGGUGCCAGGGUCAAAUCCUGGGGCCUUCAUGCUCAAUUGUUGCUGACGAGGCCGCCUGGACAGCUUGCCUGGUCCCCUGUAUGUCCACUCUGGAUGUCCACAGUGACUCGGGCUCCUCAGCAGCCCACGUCCUCCUCACCAUCUCCCAGAACAGAGGCCCACGGAGUACCGCUCGCAGUUGAGGUAGGCCCGCACCGUGUAGAAGGCCUUGUGGAACUGCCUCUCGAUGUCCGUCAGCUCCUCAAACACCUUGUUGGCCGACCACAGCAGCACCUGGAGGGAGGGGCACACCUGUGGGCCUGUGGCCACUCCCACCCUCACGCCGGUCUGACCACAGCAGCAGGGGUUUAACUCAAGCCUGACACAGGUGCGCUCCCUGAUCUGACCACCU